CGUUCUGUGGCCAGGUUGGUUAAAGCGUCGGUCUACCGAAUGCGGAGCUGUGGGAUCGAAUCCCACCAGAGCCC
rfam:Aedes albopictus isolate Foshan contig13537, whole genome shotgun sequence.